rnacentral:rRNA from 1 species
AACGAACGCUGGCGGCAGGCCUAACACAUGCAAGUCGAACGCCCCUUCGGGGGAGUGGCAGACGGGUGAGUAACACGUGGGAACGUGCCCUUCGGUCUGGGAUAACUCAUGGAAACGUGAGCUAAUACCGGAUACGCCCUUCGGGGGAAAGAUUUAUCGCUGAAGGAUCGGCCCGCGUCGGAUUAGCUUGUUGGUGAGGUAACGGCUCACCAAGGCGACGAUCCGUAGCUGGUCUGAGAGGAUGAUCAGCCAUACUGGGACUGAGACACGGCCCAGACUCCUACGGGAGGCAGCAGUGAGGAAUAUUGGACAAUGGGCGCAAAACCUGAUCCAGCCAUGCCGCGUGAGUGAUG